rnacentral:tRNA from 1 species
ACCAAUCAUUCUCAUUCAA